rfam:Myotis davidii contig22001, whole genome shotgun sequence.
AGGCCUGCAGAGAGAGAGGCAGCGUCUGAUCUGCAGCCUCAGUGGCAGCUGUUGACCAGCCGUUUCCUCUCUCUUUCUUUCCA